rnacentral:misc_RNA from 1 species
UUAAGUUCAGCGGGUAUCCCUACCUGAUCCGAGGUCAACCAUAGAAAAUUUGGGUUUUGGCAGAAGCUCACUGAGAACCUGUAACGAGAUAUAUUACUACGUUUAGGACCCAGCGGCACCGCCACUGAUUUUAGAGCCUGCCAUUACUGACAUGGACUCAAUACCAAGCUGAGCUUGAGGGUUGAAAUGACGCUCGAACA